CAGUCGAGCGGACAGAAGGGAGCUUGCUCCCGGAUGUUAGCGGCGGACGGGUGAGUAACACGUGGGUAACCUGCCUGUAAGACUGGGAUAACUCCGGGAAACCGGAGCUAAUACCGGAUAGUUCCUUGAACCGCAUGGUUCAAGGAUGAAAGACGGUUUCGGCUGUCACUUACAGAUGGACCCGCGGCGCAUUAGCUAGUUGGUGGGGUAAUGGCUCACCAAGGCGACGAUGCGUAGCCGACCUGAGAGGGUGAUCGGCCACACUGGGACUGAGACACGGCCCAGACUCCUACGGGAGGCAGCAGUAGGGAAUCUUCCGCAAUGGACGAAAGUCUGACGGAGCAACGCCGCGUGAGUGAUGAAGGUUUUCGGAUCGUAAAGCUCUGUUGUUAGGGAAGAACAAGUGCGAGAGUAACUGCUCGCACCUUGACGGUACCUAACCAGAAAGCCACGGCUAACUACGUGCCAGCAGCCGCGGUAAUACGUAGGUGGCAAGCGUUGUCCGGAAUUAUUGGGCGUAAAGGGCUCGCAGGCGGUUUCUUAAGUCUGAUGUGAAAGCCCCCGGCUCAACCGGGGAGGGUCAUUGGAAACUGGGAAACUUGAGUGCAGAAGAGGAGAGUGGAAUUCCACGUGUAGCGGUGAAAUGCGUAGAGAUGUGGAGGAACACCAGUGGCGAAGGCGACUCUCUGGUCUGUAACUGACGCUGAGGAGCGAAAGCGUGGGGAGCGAACAGGAUUAGAUACCCUGGUAGUCCACGCCGUAAACGAUGAGUGCUAAGUGUUAGGGGGUUUCCGCCCCUUAGUGCUGCAGCUAACGCAUUAAGCACUCCGCCUGGGGAGUACGGUCGCAAGACUGAAACUCAAAGGAAU
rnacentral:rRNA from 1 species